UGCAAGUCGAGCGGUAGCACAGGAGAGCUUGCUCUCUGGGUGACGAGCGGCGGACGGGUGAGUAAUGUCUGGGAAACUGCCUGAUGGAGGGGGAUAACUACUGGAAACGGUAGCUAAUACCGCAUAANGUCUACGGACCAAAGUGGGGGACCUUCGGGCCUCAUGCCAUCAGAUGUGCCCAGAUGGGAUUAGCUAGUAGGUGGGGUAAUGGCUCACCUAGGCGACGAUCCCUAGCUGGUCUGAGAGGAUGACCAGCCACACUGGAACUGAGACACGGUCCAGACUCCUACGGGAGGCAGCAGUGGGGAAUAUUGCACAAUGGGCGCAAGCCUGAUGCAGCCAUGCCGCGUGUGUGAAGAAGGCCUUCGGGUUGUAAAGCACUUUCAGCGAGGAGGAAGGGUNCNGUGUUAAUAGCACUGUGCAUUGACGUUACUCGCAGAAGAAGCACCGGCUAACUCCGUGCCAGCAGCCGCGGUAAUACGGAGGGUGCAAGCGUUAAUCGGAAUUACUGGGCGUAAAGCGCACGCAGGCGGUUUGUUAAGUCAGAUGUGAAAUCCCCGCGCUUAACGUGGGAACUGCAUUUGAAACUGGCAAGCUAGAGUCUUGUAGAGGGGGGUAGAAUUCCAGGUGUAGCGGUGAAAUGCGUAGAGAUCUGGAGGA
rnacentral:rRNA from 1 species